rnacentral:rRNA from 1 species
AUUUAACGCUGGCGGCAGGCCUAACACAUGCAAGUCGAACGAGUGGCGGACGGGUGAGUAAUGUCUGGGAAACUGCCCGAUGGAGGGGGAUAACUACUGGCAACGGUAGCUAAUCCCGCAUACCAUCGGAUGUGCCCAGCUGGGAUUAGCUAGUAGGUGGGGUAAUGGCUCACCUAGGCGACGAUCCCUAGCUGGUCUGAGAGGAUGACCAGCCACACUGGAACUGAGACACGGACCAGACUCCUACGGGAGGCAGCAGUGGGGAAUAGUGCACAAGGGGCGGAAGCAUGAUGCAGCCAUGCCGCGUGGAUGAAGAAGGCCUUCGGGUUGUAAAGUACUUUCAGCGAGGAGGCGUUACUCGCAGAAGAAGCACCGGCUAACUCCGUGCCAGCAGCCGCGGUAAUAC